rnacentral:rRNA from 1 species
AUUGAACGCUGGCGGCAUGCCUUACACAUGCAAGUCAAACGGUAACAGGUCUUCGGAUGCUGACGAGUGGCGAACGGGUGAGUAAUACAUCGGAACGUGCCCAGUCGUGGGGGAUAACGAAGCGAAAGCUUUGCUAAUACCGCAUACGAUCUACGGAUGAAAGCGGGGGAUCGCAAGACCUCGCGCGAUUGGAGCGGGCGAUGGCAGAUUAGGUAGUUGGUGGGGUAAAGGCUUACCAAGCCUACGAUCUGUAGCUGGUCUGAGAGGACGACCAGCCACACUGGGACUGAGACACGGCCCAGACUCCUACGGGAGGCAGCAGUGGGGAAUUUUGGACAAUGGGCGCAAGCCUGAUCCAGCAAUGCCGCGUGCAGGAUGAAGGCCUUCGGGUUGUAAACUGCUUUUGUACGGAACGAAAAGCUCUGGGUUAAUACCCUGGGGUCAUGACGGUACCGUAAGGAUAAGCACCGGCUAACUACGUGCCAGCCGCCGCAGUAA